rnacentral:rRNA from 1 species
UGGUAGUNCACGCCCUAAACGAUGUCGAUUAGCUGUUGGGCAACUUGAUUGCUUAGUAGCGUAGCUAACGCGUGAAAUCGACCGCCUGGGGAGUACGGUCGCAAGAUUAAAACUCAAAGGAAUUGACGGGGACCCGCACAAGCGGUGGAUGAUGUGGAUUAAUUCGAUGCAACGCGAAGAACCUUACCUGGUCUUGACAUGUACGGAAGAACUCAGAGACGAGUUUGUGCCUUCGGGAACCGUAACACAGGUGCUGCAUGGCUGUCGUCAGCUCGUGUCGUGAGAUGUUGGGUUAAGUCCCGCAACGAGCGCAACCCUUGUCAUUAGUUGCCAUCAUUUAGUUGGGCACUCUAAUGAGACUGCCGGUGACAAACCGGAGGAAGGUGGGGAUGACGUCAAGUCCUCAUGGCCCUUAUGACCAGGGCUUCACACGUCAUACAAUGGUCGGUACAGAGGGUAGCCAAGCCGCGAGGUGGAGCCAAUCCCAGAAAACCGAUCGUAGUCCGGAUUGCACUCUGCAACUCGAGUGCAUGAAGUCGGAAUCGCUAGUAAUCGCAGGUCAGCAUACUGCGGUGAAUACGUUCCCGGGUCUUGUACACACCG